rnacentral:rRNA from 1 species
UACGAAGGGGGGCUAGCGUUGUUCGGAAUCACUGGGCGUAAAGGGCGCGUAGGCGGCCUGCUAAGUCGAACGUGAAAUCCCUGGGCUCAACCCAGGAACUGCGUCCGAUACUGGUUGGCUUGAAUCCGGGAGAGGGACGUGGAAUUCCAGGUGAUAGCGGUGAAAUGCGUAGAUAUCUGGAGGAACACCGGUGGCGAAGGCG